GACAGCUCCUUCUUUGGCUCUGUACUGACUCCACUGCUCCUCCCUGCGCCUUGGAACAGGUUUCCCAGUCACAUGGAUAUGAAAAAGUCAAAGAUCUUGAUCCCAAACAAGGAGAUAGUCGUUUUCCUGGUGGUUUCCGAAGAACGUUAUCAGCAGGGAUUCUGGUUGUCUCUGCUGAACCAGCCAACCGUGGCCAGGGGGCUAGAGUCCCUGACUGGCGAAGCUGGUAUCCGAGGACCACACCUGAUGGAGUUGGGGGGGGGGGCGGGUUCCGCUGAACCACAGGGCAGGAGAUGUAGGGUUCUCCAAACAGAGAAGAAAUGUCACCAGUCACGUCCAAGCAGGUAAGAGGUCAAUGGUCACAUCAUCACAGGCAGCGGGAUCGGGAUCAGGAAAGGGCAGAGAGGAGACGUCUGGGAGUGAUUCUGGGCCUGAGGUACAUUCCUACAUAUUCAGGAGUCAGGAGCUGAAUGUAGGCGUGGCCAUCAGUGCCUCCCAG
rnacentral:lncRNA from 1 species